rnacentral:pre_miRNA from 1 species
AGUGUGAUACCUGGGUCAUAUGAUGGUGCUAUUCCUAGUUUUUGAGGAAUCUCCAUACUACUUUCCAGAGUGGUUGGACUCAUUUGCAUUCCCACCAAUAAU